GACGAACGCUGGCGGCGUGCUUAACACAUGCAAGUCGAACGGAAAGGCCCUGCUUUUGUGGGGUGCUCGAGUGGCGAACGGGUGAGUAACACGUGAGUAACCUGCCCUUGACUUUGGGAUAACUUCAGGAAACUGGGGCUAAUACCGGAUAGGAGCUCCUGCUGCAUGGUGGGGGUUGGAAAGUUUCGGCGGUUGGGGAUGGACUCGCGGCUUAUCAGCUUGUUGGUGGGGUAGUGGCUUACCAAGGCUUUGACGGGUAGCCGGCCUGAGAGGGUGACCGGCAACAGGGAGACGAAGAGAGGGCGAAGACGCCAAGGGGAGGAAAAGGGGGGAAAUAUGGAGCAGGGGGGGAGAGCGAGAGACGGAAAGCCCGGGUGCGGAAUGACGGGUUUCGGGUGAAAACCCGAUUUGGCCGGGGGGGAAGAGGGAGGGAAGGAAAGGGAUAAAAAAGACCCGGAAAACUACGUG
rnacentral:rRNA from 1 species